GUUUGAUCAUGGCUCAGAUUGAACGCUGGCGGCAGGCCUAACACAUGCAAGUCGAACGGUAACAGGAAGAAGCUUGCUUCUUUGCUGACGAGUGGCGGACGGGUGAGUAAUGUCUGGGAAACUGCCUGAUGGAGGGGGAUAACUACUGGAAACGGUAGCUAAUACCGCAUAACGUCGCAAGACCAAAAAGGGGGGACCUUCGGGCCUCUUGCCAUCGGAUGUGCCCAGAUGGGAUUAGCUAGUAGGUGGGGUAACGGCUCACCUAGGCGACGAUCCCUAGCUGGUCUGAGAGGAUGACCAGCCACACUGGAACUGAGACACGGUCCAGACUCCUACGGGAGGCAGCAGUGGGGAAUAUUGCACAAUGGGCGCAAGCCUGAUGCAGCCAUGCCGCGUGUAUGAAGAAGGCCUUCGGGUUGUAAAGUACUUUCAGCGGGGAGGAAGGGAGUAAAGUUAAUACCUUUGCUCAUUGACGUUACCCGCAGAAGAAGCACCGGCUAACUCCGUG
rnacentral:rRNA from 1 species